CCUACAAGUCGAGCAGGGUCGAAAGACGGACUUAGUGAUCCGGUGGUUCCGCAUGGAAGGGCCAUCGCUCAACGGAUAAAAGCUACCCCGGGGAUAACAGGCUUAUCUCCCCCAAGAGUUCACAUCGACGGGGAGGUUUGGCACCUCGAUGUCGGCUCAUCGCAUCCUGGGGCUGUAGUCGGUCCCAAGGGUUGGGCUGUUCGCCCAUUAAAGCGGUACGCGAGCUGGGUUCAGAACGUCGUGAGACAGUUCGGUCCCUAUCCGUCGUGGGCGUAGGAAAUUUGAGAGGAGCUGUCCUUAGUACGAGAGGACCGGGAUGGACAUACCUCUGGUGUACCAGUUGUCGUGCCAACGGCAUAGCUGGGUAGCUAUGUGUGGACGGGAUAAGUGCUGAAAGCAUCUAAGCAUGAAGCCCCCCUCAAGAUGAGAUUUCCCAACUUCGGUUAUAAGAUCCCUCAAAGAUGAUGAGGUUAAUAGGUUCGAGGUGGAAGCAUGGUGACAUGUGGAGCUGACGAAUACUAA
rnacentral:rRNA from 1 species